rnacentral:rRNA from 1 species
ACUCCUACGGGAGGCAGCAGUAGGGAAUCUUGCGCAAUGGGCGAAAGCCUGACGCAGCAACGCCGCGUGGGGGAUGAAGGCUCUCGGGUUGUAAACCCCUUUCAGCAGGGACGAAAUUGACGGUACCUGCAGAAGAAGCCCCGGCCAACUACGUGCCAGCAGCCGCGGUAACACGUAGGGGGCAAGCGUUGUCCGGAUUUAUUGGGCGUAAAGAGCUCGUAGGCGGCUCGGUAAGUCGGGUGUGAAAACUCAGGGCUCAACCCUGAGACGCCACUCGAUACUGCUGUGGCUAGAGUCCGGUAGGGGAGCGUGGAAUUCCUGGUGUAGCGGUGAAAUGCGCAGAUAUCAGGAGGAACACCAGCGGCGAAGGCGGCGCUCUGGGCCGGAACUGACGCUGAGGAGCGAAAGCGUGGGGAGCAAACAGGAUUAGAAACCCGUGUAGUCC